AGAUUGAACGCUGGCGGCAUGCCUAACACAUGCAAGUCGAACGGCAGCACAGCCCGCAAGGGUGGGUGGCGAGUGGCGGACGGGUGAGGAAUACAUAGGAAUCUACCCUGUCGUGGGGGAUAACGUAGGGAAACUUACGCUAAUACCGCAUACGACCGAGAGGUGAAAGCGGCGGACCGCAAGGCGUCGCGCGGCUGGAUGAGCCUAUGUCCGAUUAGCUAGUUGGCGGGUAAUGGCCCACCAAGGCGACGAUCGGUAGCUGGUCUGAGAGGAUGAUCAGCCACACUGGAACUGAGACACGGUCCAGACUCCUACGGGAGCAGCAGUGGGAAUAUUGGACAAUGGGCGCAAGCCUGAUCCAGCAAUGCCGCGUGGGUGAAGAAGGCCUUCGGGUUGUAAAGCCCUUUUAGUACGGAAGAAAUCCGUAGUCGGUUAAUACCCGGCGGGAUGACGGUACCGUAAGAAUAAGCACCGCUAACGUCGUGCCAGCAGCCG
rnacentral:rRNA from 1 species